UUCUACCGGAGGCAGCAGUGGGGAAUCCCGACAAUGGAGGCAAGCGUGAUCCAGCACUGCCGCGUAGCAAGAAGGCGCUCCGGCGGUAAAGCACUUCAUCCGGGAAGAUGCAACCCCUUACCCCGAGGGACUGACGGUACCUGCAGAAUAAGCACGCUAUUUUG
rnacentral:rRNA from 1 species